UGGGGAAUAUUGCGCAAUGGGCGNAAGCCUGACNCAGCAACGCCGCGUGAGGGAUGACGGCCUUCGGGUUGUAAACCUCUUUCAGCAGGGAAGAANCGAAAGUGACGGUACCUGCAGAANAAGCACCGGCUAACUACGUG
rnacentral:rRNA from 1 species